GACAAGGGGUAAGUGAGUAUCCCAUGCCUUUCCAAAGUCGAUCACACAGGCUCUCAGCAUAUCUUCCAGUGUUGGGAUGGUCCUCUCACUCUGUCCGUCGUUCUGUGGAUGGUAGGCUGUGCUCAUUUCCAGCCUUGUUCCCAGGGAGUGUUGUAGCGAUUGCCAUAAUCUUGAGGUGAACCAACUAUCUCUAUCGGAGAUAAUGGAUAUAGGUACACCAUGUAGUCGUACGAUCUCCCUAAUGAGCUCAUUUCCAGCCUUGUUCCCAGGGAGUGUUGUAGCGAUUGCCAUAAUCUUGAGGUGAACCAACUAUCUCUAUCGGAGAUAAUGGAUAUAGGUACACCAUGUAGUCGUACGAUCUCCCUAAUGAAUGUUCUCGUAAGCUUCUCCAUCUUGUCAGUUUCCUUGAUAGGCAGGAAGUGUGCAGACUUGGUCAAUCUAUCGACGAUGACCCAUAUGGUAUCAAGUCCACCC
rnacentral:lncRNA from 1 species